CGGGAUGUAGCGUAGCCCGGUAGCGCGCUUCGUUCGGGACGAAGAGGUCGCCAGUUCGAAUCUGGCCAUCCCGA
rnacentral:tRNA from 1 species